UACAGAGGUCUCAAGCGUUGUUCGGAUUCAUUGGGCGUAAAGGGUGCGCAGGCGGCGCGGUAAGUCGGGUGUGAAAUCUCGGAGCUUAACUCCGAAACUGCAUUCGAUACUGCCGUGCUUGAGGACUGGAGAGGAGACUGGAAUUUACGGUGUAGCGGUGAAAUGCGUAGAUAUCGUAAGGAAGACCAGUGGCGAAGGCGGGUCUCUGGACAGUUCCUGACGCUGAGGCACGAAGGUCAGGGGAGCAAACGGU
rnacentral:rRNA from 1 species